GGGGUGGUUGCCUGUGACGUCACCGGACGCGCCCGCUUCUCGCUGGAGUGCGCACCGAGCGGCAGUGACUUCGCCGCUGCUGUAGUUCCCCGGCUGGAUGCGGUGACUGGUGCCAGUGCUCAGGCGCCCGCUGCCCUUGACCUCCCGCCCCGCGAGCCCUAACUCAGCGCAGGAGGACCGGCUGCCGCCGCCGCCGCCGCCAGAGCCUUGGCUGCCCAGUUGCCAGUCCUACCACGGUCGGAGGUAACCUUCCUGGCUCCAGUCACAUGGCCAGAUAAGGUGGUGUGUGUGGGCAUGAAUUAUGUGGACCACUGCAAAGAACAGAACGUGCCCGUGCCCAAGGAGCCCAUCAUCUUCAGCAAGUUUGCCAGCUCCAUCGUGGGGCCCUAUGAUGAGGUGGUCCUCCCACCACAGAGCCAGAUCCACACAACUUAAAGAUCUGCUGUCGAGUGAAUGGGGAAGUGGUCCAGAGCAGCAACACCAACCAGAUGGUAUUCAAGACAGAGGACCUGAUAGCCUGGGUGUCCCAGUUUGUUACCUUUUACCCAGGGGAUGUCAUCCUGACUGGGACCCCCCCACCUCCACCCAGGUGUCGGUGUAUUCAGGAAACCUCCUGUCUUUCUCAAGGUCUCUGAAGGUCCAGACAGCACUGAUGGCGAGCUUUGGGUCCGCACACUCUGGAAAGAAGAGAGAAGUGAAGGCUCUAGGUAGGGAGAACAGAGAGCCACUGGGCACAGGCUUCUCUCCUCUUGUUUAAAGAAGCCCAGGGAGGGAUAGAGCUCUGACUGGACAGAAGACUGUACUCUGCAGCCUGCCUUCCUAGAGUUGGGUUGUCACUGUCCUGCAGGGGGCAGCAGCCACCAGCAAACACCACUGCCUGCAGGAGCCUGGGCUGACUGGUUGGGACUCACCGAAGAUCCCUUCUUCCUGGGCGGUGGCCUGCAGGAACUGGAACAGCUGCUCUGUGUAGCCCAACUCUGCAGAAGAGAGAAGACCUAGACCUGGCACCCAGCACAGACACAGCCUGCCUCGAGGACUGCAAGGGAACAAGGGCCUCACCAGUAUCGGGCAGCUGGCCCUGGCGGAGGAAGGCGGCAGCCUGUGCAAAGGCCUUGAGCAGCGGGCUGAGCAGGCGGCAGAGGAAAAGAAAGAAAUCUGGGCAGUGUGACUGCUGGCUGAGCUGGAGGGGACAGGCCGGGGUGAGUGCAGCUCCCCACCGCCUCCCUACCACCUCCCUCCAGGGGCAGCUUUUUGAAACACACCCUGAAGUACCGGCCGUCAGCCUCUCCGAAGUCAUCACUGUCACUAUCAGUAAAGUCCCCACUCGGUUUCCACAGCAG
rnacentral:lncRNA from 1 species